GGCAACUCCCUUGUCACGGAGUGCGUGCUGCUCCUGCCUGUCCUGGGAGGCUCCCAGCCGUGGCAUCCUGCAGUGACUUGCACACGUCUCCUGGUCCACAUGAAUGCCGGACUUCCAGGCAGCCACACCACACUGCGUCUGGAGCCCAGAGCCGACAGCAGGUGGAGACUGGCACAGGAGAGGGUGUGGACAGCGGCCGGUACUGAGCCACAGCGCUGGCGGAGGGGCCUCCAGGAGGAGCUCUCCAGGCUCUGGGGUCUUCUGAGGGGACCACGGACUCCCUGAAGCGACUCAAGGGCCUUGAGGAGCCGGUGGACACUGGGAGUGCGUGGUGCUGUGAGUCGGCCCAAGGGCACAGCUACAGGCCCAGGGAGGCCCCAAGGGGAAGGAGGCCGGGUUGGCAUCUGUCCUGCGUGCUGCCCCAGUGCAGGCGGGGAAUUUGUACAGAGUCCCGGAAGGGGAUGGGCCACCUGCAGAAGAGAGGAGGUCCCCAAACUCCACGUGUCACACUGUACCUCAGUGGAUGGACAGGUUAAACGCAAAACAUUCCAUCACCCAGUAGGAAAAAGUACAGAGGGCGCCGUGUCAUCUGGUGUGAGCACACUUCUUUCCCACAUUAAAGGGGGCAGACACAAGGUGACACAAGCAUGCGAGCCGGGGCCUGGAUGACUGUGCGCAGAACCCACAGGAAAAGUAGAAAUACCAGCAGCCAGUAGUCCCUGACGGUGCGCCAUUUCUCCAGCGAUUACUGAGGCGUUAAUUAAAAUGGGGCACCCUUUCUCGUCCACCAAGCUGGCAGACACAGGAUCUGCUCACUCUCAGCAUGGGCAGGGCGUGCAUGCCAGGCCAGUGGGAAAUGGGGCAAAGGUCUUCUGUGUCUCACCAAGCAGACGCUCCCUACCUGCAGGAAGGGCAGCACCGCCUCUUGUAAUAUGCCCUAAAAAGCGAAUCGAAGCCAGGCGCGGUGGCGCACACCUGGAAUCCCAGCACUCCGGGAGGGCGGGCCAGGAAGAUUGUGAGUUCACGCCCAGCCUGAUCAACUUUGAGAUGGAGUGACCCUGUCUCAAAAUGAAAACUAGAAAAUG